AACCUCCCUAACCUCCAUAACCUCCAUAACUUCCCUAACCUCCCUAACCUCCAUAACUUCCCUAACCUCCGUAACCUCCAUAACCUCCCUAACCUCCAUAACCUCCCUCACCUCCAUAACCUCCCUAAUCUCCAUAACCCUGCAUGUGUACUCGCCCUCUCUGCCCCACCUCUACCCAGUCCUACCCAGUCCCCCACUCCUCCCCUUGGCUCUGACUGCUCUGCCCCCCAGGGGGCUACUGAGUCUCCCUCUUGCUUCCUUCUGGGGGGCGGUGCUUACAGCCAUCCUCUCCAGCUCCCUCUGGGGCCUGUGUUGCUGAGCCCAGGGCCAAGGAGCUGGCUGAGUGUCUCAAGCAGAGGCUGUUGAAGUACCAAGUAACUAACUGCCAGUCUAUGCCGCCACCCCACGGAGCUAUGAAGUGCACGUGGCUGAGGGCUCCAUGAAGAAGGAGUUCCCGCAGAACCUGGGAGGCAGCGACACAUGCUACUUCUGCCAGAAGCGGGUCUACGUGAUGGAGAGGCUGAGUG
rnacentral:sRNA from 1 species